rnacentral:lncRNA from 1 species
CUGAAGGUGGUGGCAGUGAAGGCCUGCGCGGGGCGGCGCGUCCCCACGCCGCAUGUCCCCACGGCAGCGGCGCUUACAUAGGGGUGCUUCUCCAUGGCGGUGGCAUUCAGCCAGGGCGUAGCGGCGACGACGUGUCCCUAAGCUCCCGAGUGGUGAUGACGGCGCGCAUGGCUAUGGCUUCGGCUUCCCGUGUGGUGACGACGAUGCCCACAUGCGGCUCUAGCCUCCUUGCGCUCCGUCGGGUGGUUGGCUGUUGGUGGUACUGUAUUAAAAUAUUUUUUUAAUUCUCAUGAAUCGGUUCAUCUGCUUGCAUCAACUCCUGAUACAUAUCAUGAGUCAGUGGUCAUCCAGUAGGCAUGAGUCGACUCAUCUUGUGCCACCUCAUCCAAUGAGUCGGUGGGAAGCCCUUAUUGUCUAACUAUGACUAACUAGGUUUAAAAAAUUCGUCUCGUAAAUUACAGACAAACUAUAUAAUUAAUUAUUUUAUAUCUAUAUAUAAUGCUGCAUGUAUAUACCGUAAGAUUUAAUGUGAUGGAGAAUGCUGAAAAGUCUUUGGAAUUCGGAUAUAACUAAACAAGGCCCUAGUUGGAUUCGAUGCGCCCGGAUCGUCAAAUUAGGAUCGCAUCAGAUUGGGCCGACAUGAAACGUUUGCAGGUCAAAUUUGGGCUUCAAUUACGACUCGAGUCAUGCUGGGCUGUAUUUUAAACCAGUCCAGGCCCAAAUCCCUUGAAAUACUGACUUUUGACUUUUUGUUUCUUUUGCAACCCUUAGAGUUAGGAACUACUCCCUCUAUCCCAAAUUGUGCAUUCCAAAAAUCUUAGAGAGUCAAAGCAUUUUUACGUUUGACCAAAAUUAUAGAGAAAAAUACUAAGAUUUGUAACAUAAAGUGAAAAUAUAAUUAAGAAAGAAUCUAAUGAUACUUAGUUAGUACUAUAAUAAUUAUUAUUUUAUAAUAUAAAUUUGGUCAAAUUUAGAAAAGUUUGACUCUCCAAGAUUUUUGGAAUGACUUACAAUUUGGGAUGGAGGGAGUAGUACUUUUAUUUUUGGAGCUGUUUCAUUCUAUUGAUUGAUUUUAUAUUAAAGACUUUGGACCAGUUGUAUUGGACGGAGCACGGAAGAAAUUCAUGCUACUACAACCCACAACAUUAGAAAACAGGGAACAAAGUACAGUGCCCGGUCACAAAGAAGGGGUGGUGGUGGUACCGAGUACGACCGUACGGGUAAAUGAGACUCAAGAAGCGGAGAGUUUAAAUUGCUCUCUCAUGCAGACGGACAGAGCUCCAUUUCACAGACUUCCAAUUUCGCUGAGAGGCACAGAGGCAGGUAGAUCUUUACAAAGAUUUGAGUGGUUGACGAUUCUUUAAUAUGGUUAUAAGAGGAGGGUAUCCAAUGCUCUACUCUAUCCAUGGCUCCAGCAGAUCACUGAAACCUGUCCAGGACCCCCAGUGUAGUUAUCCUGAACCUCUGAUUACGCAGUGGGCCAAAACCAGUGUCAUCAUGGCCUUGCAGUUCCUGCCUGCCAACCGAUGAUGGGCUGUGAACGCUAACGCACAUCAUUCCACUUCCUGGUGUGGUGCAAAUCAUAGAUGGUCUUUUACCAGUCGUAGUAGUUCCUUGCUUUGGCUUCAGAGAAUCUCUGAAAGUCGAUCUGGUCAGCCAGCGACCACGCAUUGCAAAUGAUGUCUGGUCAGAGCAGGAGCUUGCGUGCAUUUUCAGGGCAAAGCUUGUGGUAGAUCUCUUCAGCUCCAGGUUCAGGUUGCAUUGUGCUCUUGUACUACAAGAGAUAACCAAUAACAGCUUGGAUACUUUUGGUUCCUUUCUAAGCAUAUGCCUAUUUGCAGCAACAAUCUCUUUACAUGUGAUCUCCUAUCCGUGGGUUUUGACUGUCGGUUGCCGGCGUCACGUGUACGUCUGGUGCCGUCGUUUUCGCUUGUUGCGGUGUGUGGGGGGCUGGGGGGUAAGGUAACUGUGAGCGCAUGGAAUGGAUCACGCCUGUCAAGAUUGCUUGGAGACGAAGCACAUGAGAAUGAGAUGAUGCAUCUCUUCUUCGAGAACAAUAACUUAUCACGUGUACCGUGUCUAUUCCUUUGCAGUGCCCGUAUGUACAUGUACGUACAGCAUCAAGAUUGCUACCGAGAGCCUGAGACAGGGAGUGGAAACAAAUACGAGUUUGAAUUUGAGCAGCAGGCAUGGAAUGGCGCCAGCAACGUAGAAAUGUUCAGUCUGCAGCCACCUUUUUCCCCAGUACCGGAAAACAAACUCCGUAGCACUUCCGUUUUUAUUUGACAAAUAUUGUUCAGUCAUGAACUAAUUAGGAUUAAAAGAUUCGUCUCGCGAUUUACAGACAAACUGUGUAAUUAGUUUUUGUUUUCGUCUAUAUUUAAUGCUUUAUGCAUGUGCCGCAAGAUUCGAUGUGACGGGGAGUCUUGAAAACUUUUUGGAUUUCGGAGUGAACUAAACAAGGCCUCAGAAAUGGAAGGGAAAAAAGAGCAAGAGAGCUAGGAACGGCAAAGGAGCAGAAAUCUGCAGUGGA